UACGGAGGUGGCAAGCGUUGCUCGGAAUCAUUGGGUGUAAAGGGCGAGUAGGCGGUCCUGCAAGUCGGGUGUGAAAUUCCACAGCUCAACCGUGGAACUGCGCUCGAUACUGCGGGACUUGAGGAUGGGAGAGGCAAGAGGAAUUCCCGGUGUAAGGGUGAAAUCUGUAGAGAUCGGGAGGAACACCAGUGGCGAAGGCGUCUUGCUAGCCCAUUUCUGACGCUGAGAAGCGAAAGCUAGGGGAGCGAACAGG
rnacentral:rRNA from 1 species